UGGCUAAAAGGUCUUACUUUCUGCAAUGGUAUAGAUGGAGGAAAAUCCUUCAAUUGUUGAAAUAAUCUGUCAGCAGGAGCCAAUGUCUCAGGCUUUUCCAAGAUACCAAUGGGCAUCCCAUGGUAUAAAAACACCUGCAGCGGAAAGGCAAGCUGGAAACUCAAACACGAAGAGAGAACACAGAGAAACUUGGACUUCCUUAGUUGAUUUCUGCUUCAUGUUGCAAGCCCUGACUGGAUGAUGCUUCCAUGGGUUUUGUCUGUAUAUGUGUUUGUGUGCCAUGUAAAUGCAGUGUCUGAGAGGAAGCCAGAAGAAGGAAGGCUGUUUCCACUGGAACCAGAGCUGCCAUCUGGGUGCUGGGAAUGGAACCCACGUCCUCCGGAAGACUACCAAGUGCUCUUAACCACUGAGCCAUCUCUCCAGCUGCCAAUAGAGCUGUAAUUUGGUAAAAAGUUAAACCCCACUUCCAAGUAUUACAAAGUAUACUUACAUAGUUUUCUCUUUUGUCUCUUCCUUUCCUCAAAGAGUGCCAUGGUAAUUUGACACAGAUUAUUGACAUUGCUGUCGAUGGCUUUCAGCCCUUCCGGCAUCCUUUCCAUCUGUGCAACCCAGUGGUGGUAUUCCUCAAUGUCAAUCUCAGCCACCUCAGACAGAACGAAAUCUUGACGAGAAAAAGAAAACCAUCUUAUGGAAGAAGCAAAACUAUUAUGUUCAUGUAUAGGCUUAUGAUAUUUGGUAACUAUACAACAUGGUCCCAUUGGAGAAUAGAGUGAUCCUGUGCUUACUGCUGCCCUGAGCAUUUUCUCUAUUAAAUAAUUAUACAGGAAGAGAGACCUGGGAUAGAAGCCCAAACAGUUAAAUCAGCAAGUUAAGAAAAUAGUAUCCAGGUUUAAAAGCACCGUGUUUGUUUCCCUCAUUUGGCCCAGUCUUGUCUCCUACAUCUAGUUAGUCCCUCAGCUUCCCCUUAUGAUUAAACUUCUCCACUCUCUCAUUAACUGUCUUGUCUUUCUUCCCUCUGAAUCUGUCCAGACACUUACUCCAUUCUUCUAGCCAGGACAUAAGUUUCAUGAGAAUCCUUUCUCGGAAAUCAAUAGUCUUAACAUACAUAUCGAUCUUUUCUAAGAAAGCCUUUCUCUUCUUUCUCUGGU